GACUGUAGCUCAGUGGUAGAGCAUCUGUUUUGCACCCAGAAGGUCCCUGGUUCAAUCUCCAGGCAUAGGGCU